GACCACAUAGAUCAGUUGGCAGAGCAUUGGGCUAGUAUUCCACAGGUUGUAGGUUUGAUUUCCACUGUGGCCA